rnacentral:rRNA from 1 species
CCUACGGGAGGCAGCAGUGAGGAAUAUUGGUCAAUGGGAGAGAUCCUGAACCAGCCAAGUCGCGUGAGGGAAGACGGCCCUAUGGGUUGUAAACUUCUUUUGUCGGAGAACAAAACCCGGGACGAGUCGCGGUCUGCGUGUACCCGAAGAAAAAGCAUCGGCUAACUCCGUGCCAGCAGCCGCGGUAAUACGGAGGAUGCGAGCGUUAUCCGGAUUUAUUGGGUUAAAGGGGUGCGUAGGCGGUCUGUUAAGGCAGCGGUAAAAUUGCGGGGCUCAACCCCGUCGGGCCGUUGAAACUGGCGGGCUUGAGUUGGCGAGAAGUACGCGGAAUGCGCGGUGUAGCGGUGAAAUGCAUAGAUAUGGCGCAGAACUCCGAUUGCGAAGGCAGCGUACCGGCGCGGAACUGACGCUGAGGCACGAAAGCGUGGGUAUCGAACAGGAUUAGAUACCCUAGUAGUC